UACGGAGGGUGCAAGCGUUAAUCGGAAUUACUGGGCGUAAAGCGCGCGUAGGCGGUUUUUUAAGUCGGAUGUGAAAGCCCCGGGCCCAACCUGGGAACUGCAUCCGAUACUGGAAGACUAGAAUGCGGGAGAGGGAGGUAGAAUUCCAUGUGUAGCAGUGAAAUGCGUAGAUAUAUGGAGGAAUACCAGUGGCGAAGGCGGCCUCCUGGCUCGACAUUGACGCUGAGGUGCGAAAGCGUGGGGAGCAAACGGG
rnacentral:rRNA from 1 species